rnacentral:rRNA from 1 species
GAUGAACGCUGGCGGCGUGCCUAAUACAUGCAAGUCGAGCGAACAGACGAGGAGCUUGCUCCUCUGACGUUAGCGGCGGACGGGUGAGUAACACGUGGAUAACCUACCUAUAAGACUGGGAUAACUUCGGGAAACCGGAGCUAAUACCGGAUAAUAUCUUGAACCGCAUGGUUCAAUAGUGAAAGACGGUUUUGCUGUCACUUAUAGAUGGAUCCGCGCCGCAUUAGCUAGUUGGUAAGGUAACGGCUUACCAAGGCAACGAGGCGUAGCCGACCUGAGAGGGUGAUCGGCCACACUGGAACUGAGACACGGUCCAGACUCCUACGGGAGGCAGCAGUAGGGAAUCGUCCGCAAUGGGCGAAAGCUUGACGGAGCAACGCCGCGUGAGUGAUGAAGGUCUUCGGAUCGUAAAACUCUGUUAUUAGGGAAGAACAAAUGUGUAAGUAACUAUGCACGUCUUGACGGUACCUAAUCAGAAAGCCACGGCUAACUACGUG